ACAUGAAAGACUAGGGGCUAGUUCAGAUACACAAGUUUGGAAAUCUGAAGAAAGAUGUUUUCAAUUUUCAUAACUUUAACUCAGCUUUUCUGAGUAAAGGGUUAUGAAAAUUGAGAAUGAAAACAAAGCCAAACAAUCUCAAUAAGUGUGCGGCCUACAAAAUGUGAAUAAUGAGUUAUGAAAACUGAGUAAUCAGUGAUAAAAACUCAGCAAACCAAACUUGGCCUGAAAAUUUCUUAUCAUUUCUUCUCUUCUCUUCCCCUUCUCCCGUCAUUCCACAUUCCAAUAAACAUGGCCUACGGCGUUCACCUUUUUGUUUCACAUAUCAGAAUGGUCCUCUCUUUUGGUAGAUUAGUAUGCAUUCUAGCUUAUUGAGAUAAGUAUUUUUUAUUGGAUCAACCUGGCUUUGGAAAGCAGUACUAAAUUGGGUGGGGUAGGGGUUCUAUAGAAAUUAAUUGAUUUAUUUAUUUUUGGGGUAACCUUUUGUGAGGAAUUAUUAAUGGGCUUAAAGAGGAAGAUCAAUUCAUGUAACUUUGAUGUAUUUUAAAAUUUUUCUUAAGAAAAAAAGAUUUUUUUUUUUUUGGUUGAAGUUUCUGACUUUUGUUUGGUGGCAAAGAAAAUUUGGGAGCUGAAAUGAAGAUUUUGUAAUCAAGAUAAUUUUUUUUUUUCUAUGGGGCACCUAAAUUGGGUGGGGUAGGGGUUAUAUAGAAAUUAAUUGAUUUAUUUAUUUUUGGGGUUAAAGAUGAUUGGAAUUUUUAUGAUCUUUGAUUUUUCUUGCUCCUGUAGGGUUCUCUGCAAGUUCUUUGCUCACGGGGCGUGUCUGUAAGGGGAGCAUUGUGAGUUUUCACAUGACUGGAAGGAUCCUCCACAUAACAUUUGCACCUAUUAUCAGAAAGGACUUUGUGCAUAUGGUAGUCGUUGCAGAUACGAACAUGUUAAAGCUUCCCGAGCCCAUUCUUCAUCAACCAAUGCACGCCAAUCUCUCGUUUCGGAUGUUGUUCCUCCGGGUCCAUUGAUUGCAAGCACUUCGAUUUUGGGAAUGGAAACUGCCCAUUUGGGAGUAGUUGCUUUUAUAAGCAUGCAUAUCGAGAUGGCCGUCUAGAGGAGGUAGUUCUACGUCAUCUUGGGUCUGAAGAUGGAGAAACUGUGAUAGCUAAAAAUAUUAGGCUGUCAGAGUUCCUUGGUAAUAUGCGUAUAAGGUGAACAGAUGCUGUUUUAUAGUCUAGAGAUAUCUAAUGAUAUGGAGAAAUCAUGCGCUGCUUCAAUUGCUGAGUUCUUUUCAAAUGCCAGUGUGGCACUCCAGUUGUUUUUGAGAUUUGCUUGCUGGAGGGGACCAGAACAUGGAGUGUUGGGCAUGCUAUACUAUUUGUCAAGGUGCAUCUUCUAUCAAAGUAAUAAAAUCGUCAUGCAUUGGAUGGGUAUGUUUGAGAGUUCUCAUCAGCUGUCUAUUUAUGGGAUAAUGAUUUUUAGUAAUGGACGUGCAAAUAGCCGUGCUGUUACCUAGCUGUAUGGUUCCCCCUCACCAACAGUGAUAUAUUUGGAACUGUUUAUAUAAUUAUUUUUGGCUUCCAUUCUUGUCAAUAUGGAGCUGUGAUGACAUGUUCUGGGCAACAUUGUCUGAGGUCUUUUGUAUUCUAAUCUGAAUUUUCCUGUUGUUUGAGGACAUUGCAUCUUGCGGGAUGUAAAUGGGGUUAAGAGCUCCCUAAAAUCAAUAGCUUUUACAGAUACUCA